rnacentral:rRNA from 1 species
UAGGGAAUCUUCCGCAAUGUGCGAAAGCCUGACGGAGCAACGCCGCGUGAGUGAUGAAGGUCUUCGGAUCGUAAAACUCUGUUAUUAGGGAAGAACAAAUGUGUAAGUAACUAUGCACGUCUUGACGGUACCUAAUCAGAAAGCCACGGCUAACUACGUGCCAGCAGCCGCGGUAAUACGUAGGUGGCAAGCGUUAUCCGGAAUUAUUGGGCGUAAAGCGCGCGUAGGCGGUUUUUUAAGUCUGAUGUGAAAGCCCACGGCUCAACCGUGGAGGGUCAUUGGAAACUGGAACACUUGAGUGAAGAAGAGGAAAGUGGAAUUCCAUGUGUAGCGGUGAAAUGCGCAGAGAUAUGGAGGAACACCAGUGGCGAAGGCGACUUUCUGGUCUGUAACUGACGCUGAUGUGCGAAAGCGUGGGGAUCAAACAGG